UGGCAUAGCUACAGACACAGGGGCUUCUGUGAGAGGGCCUGAGGUAGGGUUUGAAAGAAGUAGGCAAGGCCCUGAGAGGGAAGGUGGUGAGAAAGAGCUUCUAGGGGGAAAAUCUGGGAGGAAGAACUCAGCUUAAGACACACACUGUAUUGCUUGGGAGUAGGAGCAAAGAGCAGAGAACUCUGACGUAGGUCAAGGGUACCUGAGGCACUGGUGGUUUAGCUUUCUCACUGAACGUUUCCUUACUCUGGAAAGAGACUGGACUGCAGGGCUAGGCUACAGAAGAUGCAGAAUGAGGACAAUAGGUGUAAGGAAUGUAGACGUGCAGCUGUGGCCCUCCAGUCUCUGGGCUGCCUGUGAGCACAGCUGAGCUGCAGCAGGGCCACCUGAUUGACUGCCCUGUCUGACUGGCCAAGGAAGCCAGCAGGCCUUCCCUUAAGCCUGACAGCAACAAUUGACUUUGGCUGGUCAAUACACACUUCCACAGCUGCGAGCUCUCUCCUGUGUUGCCCAGUCUGUUCCAGAGCUGCUCAAUGCGUGACUCCAACUCUGAUCCUCAGCGUGUCCCUUGCUGCUGACUCCAGCUCUGACCACUAGGCAUGAUAGUUUGUGCUUUGACCACUAGGCAUGGUUGCCCUCGUCCCAGUUUGUGACAAUAGGGAGUGCUAGAAUGGUGAGCCAUGGGACAAAUCUUCCUGGACAUUCGUCUCCUAACUAGCAGUGCUAGAAGCAGAACUCAGUCAAUAUUGUGAACGUGUUCUUCCUUUCUGAAUGGCCUACAGAUGCCAUUGUCCAGAACUCCUCCACUAAUAUUACUGCAACAAGGUCUCCAUCACUUUCAAUGGGGCUCACAUUUGGUCACCACAAAGAUGCCUGUACCUGGCAAACAGAGAAGUGGCAGGAAUAAACGUAAGUGAUAGCACUGAGUCUAAAGAGGAUCUCACUGGCCUGGAUAAAAUGAAGAUUAAUUUGACUCAUUUUACUGAAAGGCUGAAUCGUGUAUAUUCUUCCCUCUCGUUAGCAGUGAUUUCCCAAGUGACCAUCUCAUAGGACAGCCUGGAGAGCACCAGGUGGGAGGAAAGCAGCAUUGAUAAGCUCUCAGAAACAGUCUUUAUAAUGAAAAUGUCAGAAACAUGUUUAACUAAACUGCAUUGUGUGAUGUUGUUAAUAUCUGCGAUGCCAUUCUUCCCAUCUUUGUGUUGCAUAAGGCUGUAUCUUGUCAGGUCACAUCAAUGUGUGUUACAUUACAUGAGAGAGCCCAGGUGAUGGAUUUGAUCUGAUGCGUGGCAUUACAGAGAGAUGCACUGUGUGGGAAAGCUGAAAGCCUUACAUCUACAACCCUCACUAUUGUGCUAGAGUUCAGGGCCCAUUAGCUUUUGUGCUAGUGGAAUCUGGGGAUAGGUGAACCAGAUCAGAAGGAACAGCAGCUCAGUCUUCGCCCAGAAUUGUAACUGAACUUAUUCUCAUUUUCAAUGCAGAAAACAAUUACUACUUGGAUUUUUUUUUUCAUAAUCACCUAUGUCUGUGUAUCUUGUUUUCAGAUAGUGUUCCAACAUUUCCUCUAUAAGAAUGGCAGUUCUUAUGGAACUUAUGCGCCCUUUGACUUAGGAAGUGCUCAAAAACUCAUGAGAAAGGAAAUGUUCUCAGGAGUGUUCCUGCGUGACAGUGGGACAGAAGAUGUCUGGACGGUUUAGCAUCCAAGUGCUUGGUUCCUUUUAGCCUGAGCCCCUGAAGCUUUCAGAAAUUUGACCCUCUUUCCUCCAAAGUCACAUUGAGGGGCAGAUGAUGUAAAUUGUCAGAGCUCCACUGAAUUCAAUGGAGCACUGAAAACUUAUCCCAGCCAAGGAUCUGCCUCUAAGUCAUUAUAUAGGGAACGGGUAUUUCUUCUCGCCCGAUGCGAAGAGGGUGGGGAACCCUUCCUGUGUAAUGGGCAUUACAGAAAGGUGAAUCAAAUUUUCCUCUUGUAGCCCUGAUUGUUUGAUGAUCUGCCGCAGCCGGUCGGAUUUUUCAUAGCAGACAGCAGCAAUCCUAUUCAUGAGUUUAUUUGCCUUUUUCUGUAGAGUGCAACCACUUUACCUCACUACAUCUUUCUACUGCAUCCAUUCAUUCAUUGUCUGGCUACAGACGAGCCAGGCUCUGUUUAACAGACUGGGCUUUACUCUCCAAUGCAUGUGAACUCUGCUCAGGCUCAUUGGAAAGAUUCUGAACAAACUAGCCCCAGCAUAAUUUAAAGGCACAGGAUAACAGCUUGCACUUAAACUGCUGCCAAAAGAUCAGGGUUUUACACAAGUGAAGAAUUGGAUGUAGUGGAGCCUUACUCAGUGACACCAUCCUCUGCCUCCCAAAGUGCCCCCUGCCUCUCCUUAUGCCAAGAGGAGAUUCCGCUGAUGCAGUGACUUCUCCACCAGCAACAUUUGGCUGCUCUACGUUCACUUGACAUUGCAUGAGUGGUCAAAGCUCAAGAACUCCUUUGAUUCAUUUAAAAAAUGUCAUGCAGAAAUAUUCCAUGUCAUCUGCAAGUCUAAUGUACCCUUUGGGGGCGAUGAUGACCUUUUUUAGUGGAUUCUAGAGAGGGCAAACCAGAAUUAAUGGAAAGGCAGUUACAAGGAUGCUUCUCAGUAAUUAUUAUGGUCCAAGCCAAAGCUCAUUGAAAUCAGUGGGAGUCUUUCCAUGGUCUACCGUUGGCUUCAGAUCAGGCCCUAUAUGCUUGUACGCAUGUAGGCAUUUUGUAAUUUAAUAUUUUGAUAUGGUUUUAUCUUGCCCUUGGGGUAAAAGCUCAAAGAAUCAGACGGAGAACCCAUAUUCAUUGACAACAAUGUACUGGAGAACCAAUUUAUCUGGUUUCAGUGUGGUAAUAGCUCAGCAAUGAAUGAGGCCUUGGUUUCUGAAUACAUCAUGGGUUUGAUGUCAUUUGCUUGAUUGAAAUACAGCCAGGAAUAGAUAUUAUUUUAGUCAUUUUAAAUGAAGUAUUAUCCAGUGGUUACUCUUGUCCACAUAAACCUUGAUCAAUAGGGCGGAAAGGUGGGUAAGGGGCAGUCAUUGUGACCAGAUUUGAUUUAAGAUCUGAAUCCAUGCCAGAACACAGGCAAUAUGAAAGUCUUAUUAGUCAAGGUGAUCACACUACCAAUGGCGUCUUUGGCUAUUAUGUAUAGACCCCUAAGUGCUAAUUCAGUUUUUGUUAAUGGGACUUUUUGAUUUCCUGGCAUCACUUUUUAUUGAAGUUUGAUAGAUUAAUGUCUCAUGGGGGAUUUUAAUAUUCAUGUUGACAUUUUCCAAGAUAAAUUGGCCACAUAAUUUAUUAGCGUAUUAAAGAAAUUAGUCUUUGCUCCUCCACUUACUAAGGAAAUGUCUUGCUGAAAUUCAUCCACUGAAAAUCGUGUGUCCUUCCAUUCUUUUAAGAUAUCAUUGGACAUUUCUCUGCCGUGAAGGAUAUAUUGGUGGCCAUCAGAGAUCAGUCUGAAGGGUCUGAAAACUUGACUCCACUAAGGGAGAGGGAUUCAAAGUGAGGGACAUAUUAAAAAUUAUAAUACUUAUUGCAAAGGAAUGGCCAUGUUAAGCUAUUAUUUCCAGUGUAAGUAGCUCAGUUCUGCAAUAGUUUAUAGCAAUGCAUCCAUGAGAUGGCCAUUUUAGGAUUAUGCAAAAAGAAUAAAAUUGACGGAUGCCAACACUGUAUCUUAUGUAUAAAGGUCGUUAUGUACAGGGGAAUAUUCUAAUUCACCUUAGUGUAACAGGCACUGUGUGUUUGUGCUGCUUCUUUGUUUGUUUGUGUUGAAAAUCAAGGAGCAAACAACUUGACAAUGAAUUUAGCCUUUUCCUGAACAUGGGAUAUUGUAACCAGAUCACAAUUGUUUCAAAUCUAUUUGUUUUUAAUUUAUUUGACAAAAUACAUAUGUUAAAAUUGUUUUUUC